AUUGAACGCUGGCGGCAGGCUUAACACAUGCAAGUCGAGCGGAGAUGAGGUGCUUGCACCUUAUCUUAGCGGCGGACGGGUGAGUAAUGCUUAGGAAUCUGCCUAUUAGUGGGGGACAACAUUCCGAAAGGAAUGCUAAUACCGCAUACGUCCUACGGGAGAAAGCAGGGGAUCUUCGGACCUUGCGCUAAUAGAUGAGCCUAAGUCGGAUUAGCUAGUUGGUGGAGUAAAGGCCUACCAAGGUGACGAUCUGUAGCGGGUCUGAGAGGAUGAUCCGCCACACUGGGACUGAAACACGGCCCAGACUCCUACGGAAGGCAGCAGUGGGGAAUAUUGGACAAUGGGGGGAACCCUGAUCCAGCCAUGCCGCGUGUGUGAAGAAGGCCUUAUGGUUGUAAAGCACUUUAAGCGAGGAGGAGGCUACUGAGACUAAUACUCUUGGAUAGUGGACGUUACUCGCAGAAUAAGCACCGGCUAACUCUGUGCCAGCAGCCGCGGUAA
rnacentral:rRNA from 1 species